GACGAACGCUGGCGGCGUGCUUAACACAUGCAAGUCGAACGGAAAGGCCUCUUUCGGGGGUUACUCGAGUGUCGAACGGGUGAGUAACACGUGAGUAACCUGCCCUUGACUUUGGGAUAACUUCAGGAAACUGGGGCUAAUACCGGAUAGGAUCUCCUUCUGCAUGGUGUGGUUUGGAAAGUUUCGGCGGUUGGGGAUGGACUCGCGGCUUAUCAGCUUGUUGGUGGGGUAGUGGCUUACCAAGGCUUUGACGGGUAGCCGGCCUGAGAGGGUGACCGGCGACAGAGGGACUGAGAGAAGGCAGAGACUGCGACGGGAGGAAGAAGGGGGGAAUAUUGAAAAAUGGGUGGAAGGCUGAUGCAGAAACGCCGUGGGCGGGAUGACGGGCUUCGGGUUGUAAAACGAUUGCGCUAAUGACGAAGCAUUGUGUGACGGUAGUGGGUAAAGAAGCACCGGCUAACUACGUG
rnacentral:rRNA from 1 species